rnacentral:tRNA from 1 species
GGGGCGUAGCUCAGUUUGGCUAGAGCGCACGGUUCGGGACCGUGAGGUCGGGUGUUCAAAUCACCUCGCCCCGACCAC